ACCUUCUUCAGGUGCCUGCCAUGGUGAGGUGCAUCCACCAGUGGCUCCUGGCCAAUGAGUCUGCUGAGCACAGGCUGGACAGGACCCUGCUGGAUCUCACCGAGGCACAGCCCACUGACGUGGUGAUGACUCUCCUGCGUGUGGCCCCAUCGUGUGACAGAGCUGCAAUGACCAUGUGGAAGACAAUCAUGUCCUCGAGCAGGACUGCAGAGUUGGUGCAGCUGAGACUCCUUGAUGUGAUGGGGAACUGGCCAGAGCACAGCACAUGCACCUCGGAUGGGGACACAACGGGUGUCUUUGCCCUGGCUGCAACUUUGGUGAUGUGGAAGAUCCUCCAGAUGCCCUGUGUACCACAUAUGGUAAUGAUGUUUUUCCCCCGCCUAUUUGUUCACCUGCUCUUACAAGUGUUCUUCAGCACUCUGGAUACACCAGAGGAGGUUGAAAAAUUCUGGAAGAGAUGCCAGGAAGAGCAUGGCUUUGCUGCCAGCCCAAACAGGUUCUCCAUCCCAGUCCUUCUGUCCCUGCCAUGUCCCCAGGGCAGGAGCCAGUGCUCCCAGCAUGACCUGAGCUUUGUUCUCCACACAGGUUUGCAGUGGACACCCUGA
rnacentral:lncRNA from 1 species